rnacentral:rRNA from 1 species
CGUAGGCGGCCACCGCAAGUCGACUGUGAAAUCUCCGGGCUUAACCCGGAACGGUCAGCCGAUACUGCGGGGCUAGAGUGCAGAAGGGGCAACUGGAAUUCUCGGUGUAGCGGUGAAAUGCGUAGAUAUCGAGAGGAACACCUGCGGCGAAGGCGGGUUGCUGGGCUGACACUGACGCUGAUGCGCGAAAGCUAGGGGAGCGAACG